GUACGAUGCACAUGAUUUUCACCUGCUUGCUUCCUUGCUGGACCAGAACAUGUGAGGAGCACAUGUCUGAUGGGAGCUUUCUUCAUAUCAGGGAAAGGACAGCUACUUGGCUGCUGAAAAUGGUGAAGCUGCUCUCCACAUGUCCUCUCUCAGAAUUUCUUUGUGCUGAGUAAAACCCAAAUUUGAAGUAACUCCUUAUGAUAUAAAACACCAUAUUCUCUCUUCUGGUCUUCCAUAACCUGCAAGAAAAACAAGAGAAAAAUUGUGAGAGAUUGAGAGAAAAAUAAGAGAAAAAUCAAGAGAAAAUUUCUGGUGAUUUAAUAUUCAACCUCAGACCACAGCUAGGACGUUGGUGAAGAAGAAGAUGAGAUAUCCAGAAUAAACCCUAGCUCUUGUUCUGUUUCUGAUCUGAACCGAACCUUGAUCUCUCUUUUUAAUCGGUUCAGCCGUGAGCUAAGCUUGGAGGAGAGAACCAUCUGAGAUCAUCUAACCGUGAAUUCUUAUGGUCUGAGUUCAGAUGGUCGAAGAGGGUAGUUGGACCAGUCGGAUCACGACUUAUCCUCAUUUUGUUUUAGGAGUGAUCAGCAAGUGGUGAACGUUCAGUUGAGUUCAAGUCUAGUCUUCUUUAGCCAAUCUCAGGCACAGGGGGGUAACCUAAGAAUUGGUUGAAUGGUGGAACCAAGCUUAAAUCAGAUCGACCAAAGAUGUGGCUGAUUGGUCGAUAUGACCGGAUUAUGACUUGAUAACCUGAAACAAAGGAAAACGAACGAGAUUAUGAUGAUAAUAACAAUAACAGCAAUAAUAAAAUGAAUGAAAAGGGAUAUAUAUGGCAGAAUCAAGCUGCUGGAUGUGUAUCACUUUCAGCUUGAUUAGAAGAUGGACCGAAGUGGAUUUGCGGAUGAAGGUUUGAUUGAAUCUCUCAGUCUGAUGGUGUGAUGGAACAUUGUGAUUGACUCUAUCAAUCUGUGUACUAAUCUUGUUUGAUUUUCACAAACAAACUAGACUCAUUAAAUCAAUAGAAGAGCAAAGAAUCUCUCUUUGAAUCCUAAAGACCGAUAUUUUAUACAAAGAACAAUCUUUGAUAAAAACUGAAUAAACUUUUUAUUAACUUGGUGAUUGAGGGUAAUCUUUACAAUGGCUAUCUAAGAGCUUAUAUAAUGCUCUGGAAACUAAGUCUAAAGUUCAUAAGAAGGAAAGAAGGAAACAAAUCAAGCAAAGUAACAACAUCGGAAACUAGCCGUUGGAGCCUUUUAUUGGAUUUUGGCUCCAAGUGAGAAACUUCAUUCUUCUUGAACCUGAACGGUUUUCAUGGAUAAAAUAGCUUCCUUGAGACCUUCUUGCAUGAUUUAUAUGUUCUGAAAUCGUCCAUAGCUUGAUAGAAAAAGAGCCGUUGGACAUUAAUGUCGGUUUGCUCCAAAUAAGGCAGGGUUGUGUUAAUGAGGAUCCUCCUAAUCAAAUGUUGGCUGGUCCAUGAACUGACUUGUCUGACUCUUCUGAAUCACUGGAUAGACUUCCUAAAUGUAUAGAUUGAUCUCCAGGUCGCCAAUGUCUUGUUUGAAGGUGAUUGAACCGGUAAGCUUCCAAAUGAGGCAAGUGUAGAACUGGUUUGGCCGGUUCUAGCAAUUGGAUCAUAUCUUCUGAUUUCCGUGUCCAAUUCUCCUCAAAUUGGGCUUUCUGGAAAUAUGAGAGACCCCUCCUGAAUCCUAUGAUGGACUUUGGUUCAGGCCGCUCCUUCCUGGGCUUGAAUCUCCUUCUAAAGUCGGGUACUCGCAGAUGAACAGGAUGAGAAACCUCUGACUUGUAAAAUUCAUAAAUUUCUGAUCCAUGAAGUUUAUCUUGAAAUUCCAAGCCUCAAUGACUCCUUGAUGAGUUAGCCUUCUUUUAAAUUUGGUUUCAUAGACAAACGCCUUCUGGUUAUCGAGAUAGACUCCUAGGACUGAACGUCUGUCGCUGGUAUCUCCUAGGUGACCGAUUUGGAAGGAUUAGUGAGACUGGUUGAACCACGGAUUUCAGGGCUACAACAUACCCUCGCUCUUGACAAGGUUUCUACCUCGAAACUAUAUAACCUGUACCAAGAGAGAGAAAGUGAGCUUUUAUUCUCUUUUGAGAUUCUAAAGCCUUACCUUGAAAUUGUUUCGGUUUGGGAAUGGGUUGUGUAUCAGGUGGUUCUCCUUUGAAAAAAUAGGAAUGGAUCACGCCUCUUCUCUCGAAAUUUUCAUUUCUUAUCUUAUGGAUUGGAUGGUCCUUCAAAUUUUUUGUGGCCACAUUUCUGAUCUUCUUUGGAGUUGAUCCUCCUAGCAACAUAAGAUAAUCUGGUGGGAUUUCUUGGAAGCUUUAUUCUUUGCAACCUGAAAUAAUCUCAACUUCUUGGGAAAAAUUCAAGUGCAUUAAUCUUGUCAUGGAUUUAGUAAGAAAAUUAUGGUCUAGUGUGAAACAUACCUUAAGCCUUGGUAUUUGAACAACACAUUGUUCAAUUUUCGGUUUCCACUUGGGAGUGGGUUCAUGGCUGAACUUAGGGUCUGGUUCUUUCUCUGGAACUUCAAUAAGCUUAUAUCUUUCAUUUUUUUCUCCAUGUACCAAGAACACACACGUAAGUACAAGUAUCCAAAGGUGGUGUUAGACACUUACCUUGGUGGGAUACUCUUAUGACCGGUUUUGCUUCUUUAAGCAACAUGGACAGCUUUGUAUCUUGAACUAUCUUCUGGUCCAUCACGUAUGUUACUACUGAUGGUUCUUAUUCUUUUGGUUCCUCAAUACCUGUUACAAGACCUUUUGACAGAGACAAGUGCAUACACAAGAAUUUGGAACCAAUAAAUCAGAUUGAUUAAAACUAUCACAUUUCAUAGAUAAUUCUGUUUUCUUUUCUAGUGAUGUUUCUAUCAAUGCUUGUUUAGUUGGACAAACUACAGCAAAGUGUCCUCUUUUAUGA